rnacentral:rRNA from 1 species
GUUUGAUCCUGGCUCAGAACGAACGCUGGCGGCGUGCCUAAUACAUGCAAGUCGAACGAGAAAGUCCGGCUUCGGUUGGACAAGUAAAGUGGCGAACGGGUGAGUAACACGUGGAUAAUCUGCCCUCAGAUCCGGGAUAAUCCUUCGAAAGGAGGCCUAAUACCGGAUAACACUUCGAGGCGGCAUCGUCUUGAAGUCACAGGCGGGGUAACCUGCCGUCUGGGGAUGAGUCCGCGCUCCAUUAGCUUGUUGGCGGGGUAAAAGCCCACCAAGGCUGCGAUGGAUAGCCGACCUGAGAGGGUGACCGGCCACACUGGGACUGAGAUACGGCCCAUACUCCUACGGGAGGCAGCAGUAGGGAAUAUUGCGCAAUGGACGAAAGUCUGACGCACCAACGCCGCCUUGGAUGAUGAAGCAUUUCGGUGUGUAAAAUCCUGUCAGUGG